ensembl:lncRNA
CGCGUGCAGCUCGCGGCGGGACGGGCGGCGUGUGGGGCUCGGCGGCGACGGAACGGCAACGGCCGUGCAGACCGGCAGCCCAGUUAGAAGUUCUGCAUGUGGGAGAGAGGUGCCCCAGUCUGAAGAUGCUCAACGAUGCUUCUGUACACGAGGCACUACUGAAAGAUGAAGUGGCUCUUUUAACAGUAAGGCAUAUAUAAUGGCACCCCAGUUUAAAGCCACUUGGUUCAGAGAGUGCAACUGUGAGAGCUGAACCCUCCCAAGCAGAGCAGUGUGGAGCAGAGGAAGCACUACAAACUCUGGAAGGCAGAUGCAGUGUGAACGUUUUUCACACAGAGCAGAUUCUGAAGUACGUGUAGUGGAAAUGCUAAGUCAUGGCUUGAAGCAGUGAUUGAGCACCUGGUGGGAAGGCAGGGCCAACCCAGGGGAGCUCAGGUGCAUGCAGUGUACCUGAGUGACCAGAAGGGGUGGAGCCAGGAUCCACCCCUUCCCAGACCUCAUUUAAGGGUUAGCAGUGGAGGCAAGGAUAUCUUGUUGGCCAUUCCUGCCUACUGGAAGCCUUCCAAAGGACCCAGAAUAACUGUGCAUGCUUCCAAAAUGUUACCACAGCUGAGGUUCAUCCUUGAACUCUGGUGGUCUGGAACAACUGCCUUACCAGUUCUCUCUGACAGAUGUAGUCUGACUCAAUCACAAGCAAACUGUGCAACAGACAGAACAGUAUAUUUAACCCCAGAGUGUUCAUCAGAUGAAACAGGCCAUGGAAACAAUGACAUUUAAGUGCUACUUGUAAUCUUCAUCAUUGGCCACCUCAAGCUAUUUGCAUCUCCCUUCUGGCAGCUGACUGAGUGUAACUUUCCUGGGAAGAGCUGUGUACUAUUCAAGCCACAUCUAAAACUCAAGCUUCCAUCACCGAGGGAAAGAACUCUGAGCUGGUUUUACAACAGCAGAACAUUGUCUGGCUGAAGCAUUAUGACAGAAAGGGAUAGUAAUACAGCUGUUAAAAGUUUGCUCUCUUCUGUACUCAAGGAAUCCAUCAAAGAACUCUUCUAGAAGAAGAGCCCAUAUGCGGAGUAAGACAGCAUGAUGUAUGAAUCCCAUCGCUGAAAUCAACUCUUGGAUUCAACAGUGCCAUUUGAACGGACAAAACCAUUAUUUUCUUUAGCCAUUCAAGCAAGGGAAACAUACUAACUCAAUUGCCAGCAUAGCUACCAGAAGGAAAUUGUGUAUGCUUUUUAGUAUUCAAGACCUUGCUCUAUUGCCUUACUCAUAUGAAAUUCAGCAUCUCUUUUGAAAACAGCAAAACAAUGACUUUGUCUCCAUUUUAAUUUGGAAGGAGUCCAAAUUAAGCUAUUAUGAGAGAUAAAUGAUAUAAUGAGAGUUGCAUGCAAUUUACUGAAAAAAAAAAUGAACAAGCAAAAUGACCUCUCAAAUGUUUGCAUUUUUCUUUUUUGAACUUACUGAAAUUUUUAUGUUCUAGGUAGUGAAGUCAAGUUUCAUAUUCAGCUUUCCUGUUAAUGUUAACAUGUACAUGACAGGUUCCAACUAAGCAGAAAAAUAGGACAUUAGGAUGCCAACCUAGCGUUCCGUUAUUAUCAAGAAUAAAUGAACUCAACUUAAACAGAGUUUCUAUAUUAACUAUUUCCAGAAUACACUCCUAUGCAGAACACUGUCUCGUAGGAAUUUGACUGGCAAAUAUCAGAUAUUCUGGCACUGAAAAGAAAAUCUGAGAACCUUUGUUACUGAAGCUGUAGUGGUGAACAAAAAUAGACUGCAAGCACUGGUGGAAACAUGGGCUACAGGGCCCUGUGAUCACAAACCUUCUGAGCAGGAAAGUCUGCCCGCUUAUAGAAAAGGUCAUCUUCAGUUUUGCAGCUCCAGGCUUUUAAUCUUAAGUAAGCCAAUCAGAUCUGAAUUAAGUGAUGAACGUAUUAUGUUAAUGAGCAUAAUUAUGCUAAUGAACAUUCCUUCAAGGAAUCUUCAUUCUUGAUUCAUUAGUUAGAUGUUACCAUCUGAAACCAAUGGAAAAUGUUUUGAAAAACUCAAUUAACCCCUCUGGGGUAAUCUUAAGACCUUAACAGACUGUCUUCCAGUGCUACCUCUGUUAUUUAUUCCCAGAUUUGUCUGUAGUCAUCAUUUCACUCAGAGUCCUCUGCCUUUUUAAACUUAUUUUUCUUCUGACAGUUACUUCAACCCUGCCGGAAAAACAAAACAAAACAAAAAUCUAUAAUCAUGUUUUAUUACUGCACUGCAGGCUCUGCAAUCCAGAUCCCAACAGUAUCACCUUCUGAACAAGCAUGGGAAAAUGCUAAAACAGCAGAAAAGUUGUCAGAGCCUGCCUGCACUAUUGACUAACCAGAGACUAGCUUGGGACAGGCACUAUCCAGCCAGCAAAUAGGCAGCUUUCUGCAGUACACUGUGUACUUCUUAGGGAUGGCACUUACUGUUUGGUGCCAGUGUGCUCCCGUGUUACAUUCCUGGUCCCACACAAUUACAUGUGUAUCUAAGGUUGCACUUACACUCCCACCUGUUAAGGUAACACACAGGAAGUAUCAUGGUAAGCUAUUAACAGCACAUGUUUUUACAGGACAGUAGCCUAUUUGUUCAGAUGAAUUCAAGUCACUUAAAAGUUAUUCCAUCCAUGGCUGGUAUUAAUAGCAUCCACACGUGUAACAUUUAUAUCAGUGGACAUAAAUCAGCAUCAGUCUAUUAAAUUCAAAACCACAUCAUUUCGGCUCAGCAGCUGACACUACAGGCUUACAAAAGAAACACUUAACAUAUACUUUUCCAUGAUGAAACGUGAGAAUAUGUCUAUUGAUGGUUACGUGUUCUCUACAAGAAGCCUCUCUGAGCCUUAAGGUUUACUUUCCAUAAUCAGCAGCACCUCCCCAGUGGGUUUUUAAUAUGUUUUAUCAGCUUAGAGUUCCUGAACAUCACACUUGCAUGUGGAAAGGCCAGAGAAUUGCCAGCUCUCGAUCAGCUGCAGUGAAAGCACAGCUUUGUAGUCCCAAAGCCCUGACUAUACCUGGGAGUGCAUACAUGGUAUCUGAUUGAAGUUACAGGUGUUAUAAUUCUCCUCUUGCCAGUGGGUCAUUAUUUCACUCCAUCAAAAGAGAAAAAUAAAACAUGUGAAGAACUCUGCAGUGACCUGCUUAGUCCCACAGAGGUCACAGUAGAGACUGAUUUAUGAUGACUGACAACUGCCUAUGAUUAUGAAAAUUGCUAGCCAGGACAGCAUAUAUUACUGAUGCCUGCUGAAUAGGGCACAGAGAAAUCAUUUUCCCUUUUAGUAUUCCUAAAGGUUUACUGUUCUUAGCUUUAUUCAAAGAAACUUAAGACCCGAGGAAAACAAUGCUGUGUAUAUAAACAGGGCAAACAUUAUGCUGUUAUUUAAAAAUGUCAGCCUGAUACUUGAUGUAAGGUUCUGACUUAAUAUGUAAGGCAAAACAAAUGAGUUUGAAAAUCUCUGUUUAGUGGUUUAGAAAAUGGGAUCUGAGAUUGCUUUAAAGAAGGUCAUAAAGACCUCUCAACCUCUCCUUUUAUUUAUGUUUUCUCAAAUAUAUUGACUGGCUUGAUGGUGCACCACAGACAAAUAUCUACAUGCUUCACAUAAUGAAACAGUGUCAUUACCUUAUCUGGACAAACUCCCAGUGUAAUUGCAACCAAAGUAAAACAGCUCUGAGACUGCAAAGAAGUGUCAAAACAGGAAAUACAAUAGCAUAGACCUGAGAUGUUUUCCAUUUGCAGACUUUCAUAUAGGUGUCUUUUUUCAUACUUUUAGCCCUAUAUUGGAAAGCAUAAUUUGAUGAUAGACGUGAAACUGUGUAUUAGUUUUUAUUUUGACAAAUUCAUUAGACAUCACAUAGCUUGAAAAAUGAACCAGGAGGCACUAAGUCAGCCUGAGAAGAUUGUACUUCAUAAACUGAAUUGCUCACAUGGGCAACAUUUUGGUGGAAGUUAUAGAUUUUCUAGCAUAUCCCUGAUAGAUAGCACUAAUAUAACUUCAAUAAAAACUCUGGAUAUGUCAAUAUAAAAUUUUUUCAAGCAUCGAAAGAUGUAAGAUACUUCAGCUAAUAAAUUGGAAGAUUCCCUGUUCCUCAAGGUACACUAACUUACACAUCAGAUUAUAAAGAGUAUUGAAGCCACACAGAGUACAGCAGGCAGCUGUAGGUUUGCUGCUUUUAGAAGUUGCACUAAAUUGAAUUAUCAAUAUAUGAAAGUAAUAAUUGGAAAUUAAGAUCUAGAUGACCCUUUUUGUAAAAAUGUUAGCAUUCUUCAAUUUUUAACUGUUAGAUGAUAGACAAUUUUUCAUAGCUGACAUGACUGAUAGACUGUAUUUGAUGCAAAUAAUUGAUGUUCCUUCUCUCUCUUCCUAACACAUGACCUUUCACUUACUUCCUUAUAUUGUUACCACUUCCAGAUUGAUAUGGUAUUGGAAAUGCAAAUGGUUAUCCUUCUUCUGAAAAAAACCUUACAGAACCUGAUGUAAGACUUCAUUGGUUACAACUGUAUGGGACAGGAUUGUGUAGCAUUCCCAACCUGUUAAAAGGAAGCAAUUAUGGUAGAGGACCAGACUACAUGGAUGACCUGAACCUUGCUCACAACAGAUGAGAAAAAAUGACAUUUUUCUCCUUUCUGAAAGACUUUUAUAGCUUGUGAAAAGGAAACUUCAAGGAAGGUGGGGAGAUUGAAGGCUGGACUGUGCUUGCACCCAUCAAGGAUAAACACAAAUAAAACUUCUGGAAGUUACCAGGCCAGUUAUCUAUUUGGAGACUUGGUUAACUUUGAGCACUAUAUACAAAACAUAUGCUACCAAUCAUGCAAGUCACAGACCUCUGAUGAGGUGAAACCACAAUUUUUCAUACGAGAAACUAUAAGCUCAUUAAGAAAUGAUAAUCAUUCUGUUCCUCUCACAUAACAUGGAGAACUGUACAAGAUGGAAGAAUAUUAAGAGCUAUCACAGAGUACUAUACUCUAAUGAGGAAAGCUCAUGCUUCAAUUUCCUGAGUUUGACCUCUGAAAAGGCACUGAGCCUCUAGGAAUCAAGGUGUUUUUUUUUCUUUCCUUCUGUGUAUUGAGUUCUUCAUUUGUUCAAUGGGGCUAAUAUAACCUCUGUACCUUCUGAGAAUAGAAACGUUAAAGACUGACUCAGUUUUAUGGUAAUGGAAACCAUUUUGUAAGCAAGACCAAAAGAAUCUCCUCUGAAGACCAGUUACAGCCAGAAUGAGAUAGGUCUCUUUCAAAUAUAGCAAAAACUUUCCAAAACAGAGCAUAUAAUAAAUGCACUAGUUUCCUUUUUCUCUCAUUUUAAUCUGCAACAAUGAAAAAUAUUCACUGUGUUUCUUUUCACUACCAUUUCCUUUUUUUCCUUUGUUUUUCUUUAUUCCUUCCCACUCUCAUUCCAUUCCCUACUUUUAUAAUUCCUUUGCUAAUAAACAAAUAGUCCACUCAUCUAAUUCCUUGACUUCAGUGUGCUACAAACCAGCAUAAGGGCUGCAGAAUUUGAUGAAUGCAAGACAGAAUGGAAGCAGAAGAGAAAGUACGAUACGAGGAGGCGAACAGCUCUGGAGUACUGAGCUCAGCAGGCUAAAUACUACCGCCCUGAUAAGCAAUCUCCAAAGGUACGCGUGUACAAUGCCGACAACAGUCUGAAACUCUAUUGCUAUAUUUACAUUAAGGCACAGUAGAAGAUGGGGUGACAAAAGCAGCUGCUACUGAGGACUUGACAUUCAAAGCACACAUGUUUCGGAAGGUUUAUCCUGGACUAUCUUUAGGCAGGUUCUGUGGAUGAGCAUUCAUUGCGUUUCAAAAAGGUCUGCGGCUUGAGGUUAAACAAAAUGGAAUCAAGCUCACGUGCUCUGGAAUUACACAUGGUGUGAAUCCAAGCAGAACAAUUAAAAACAUCCAGGAAAUGAGCUUUAAAGUCACCUUCUUUUCUCCAAAUCUAAAUACUGAUAACAGAACUUGCACUAGUGACGUUGUUGCAAGCAGACUGCAUGUUUAGAACAAAGACUUUCCACAACGCUGCCUUGUUUCUGCAUGUUCUAAAGCCAGUCCAACUCACAGUCCAAGACUGUGCAACACUUUUCACAAUGCACAUGAAGGAGACAUCUGUACAGUUAAGUAGAUCUUUGUUGAAGACUGAUUUGAAAAUAGAUCUUCACAACAAUCUAAAACCUUGACAGACAACAUGGAAGUCAAAGACGGGGCUGAAUCAAACUUUC